GACGAACGCUGGCGGCGUGCUUAACACAUGCAAGUCGAACGGAAAGGCCCUGCUUUUGUGGGGUGCUCGAGUGGCGAACGGGUGAGUAACACGUGAGUAACCUGUCCUUGACUUUGGGAUAACUUCAGGAAACUGGGGCUAAUACCGGAUAGGAGCUCCUGCUGCACGGUGGGGGUUGGAAAGUUUCGGCGGUUGGGGAUGGACUCGCGGCUUAUCAGCUUGUUGGUGGGGUAGUGGCUUACCAAGGCUUUGACGGGUAGCCGGCCUGAGAGGGUGACCGGCCACAUUGGGACUGAGAUACGGCCCAGACUCCUACGGGAGGCAGCAGUGGGGAAUAUUGCACAAUGGGCGGAAGCCUGAUGCAGCAACGCCGCGUGCGGGAUGACGGCCUUCGGGUUGUAAACCGCUUUCGCCUGUGACGAAGCGUGAGUGACGGUAAUGGGUAAAGAAGCACCGGCUAACUACGUG
rnacentral:rRNA from 1 species